rnacentral:rRNA from 1 species
GAGUUUGAUCAUGGCUCAGAUUGAACGCUGGCGGCAUGCCUUACACAUGCAAGUCGAACGGCAGCACGGGAGCUUGCUCCUGGUGGCGAGUGGCGAACGGGUGAGUAAUGCAUCGGAACGUAUCCUGGAGUGGGGGAUAACGUAGCGAAAGUUACGCUAAUACCGCAUAUUCUGUGAGCAGGAAAGCGGGGGACCUUCGGGCCUCGCGCUCUUGGAGCGGCCGAUGUCGGAUUAGCUAGUUGGUGAGGUAAAGGCUCACCAAGGCGACGAUCCGUAGCAGGACUGAGAGGAUGAUCUGCCACACUGGAACUGAGACACGGUCCAGACUCCUACGGGAGGCAGCAGUGGGGAAUUUUGGACAAUGGGGGCAACCCUGAUCCGGCCAUGCCGCGUGAGUGAAGAAGGCCUCGGUUGUAAG